rnacentral:rRNA from 1 species
GAUGAACGCUAGCGGCAGGCCUAAUACAUGCAAGUCGGACGGGAUUCAGGAGCUUGCUUCUGAUGAGAGUGGCGCACGGGUGCGUAACACGUAUGUAACCUACCUUUAUCAGGGGGAUAGCCUCUCGAAAGAGAGAUUAAGCCCGCAUAAAAUCACAGCACAGCAUUGUGUAAUGAUCAAAUAUUUAUAGGAUAAAGAUGGGCAUGCGGAACAUUAGCUAGAUGGCGGGGUAACGGCCCACCAUGGCGACGAUGUUUAGGGGAUCUGAGAGGAUGGCCCCCCACACUGGUACUGAGACACGGACCAGACGCCUACGGGAGGCAGCAGUAAGGAAUAUUGGUCAAUGGGCGGAAGCCUGAACCAGCCAUGCCGCGUGCAGGAAGACGGCCCUACGGGUUGUAAACUGCUUUUAUACGGGAAUAAACCCAGAUACGUGUAUCUGGCUGAAUGUACUGUAAGAAUAAGGAUCGGCUAACCCCGUG